rnacentral:rRNA from 1 species
CUACGCACUCCUACGGGAGGCAGCAGUGGGGAAUAUUGCACAAUGGGCGCAAGCCUGAUGCAGCCAUGCCGCGUGUAUGAAGAAGGCCUUCGGGUUGUAAAGUACUUUCAGCAGUGAGGAAGGUGGAUAUGUUAAUAGCAUAUUCAUUUGACGUUAGCUGCAGAAGAAGCACCGGCUAACUCCGUGCCAGCAGCCGCGGUAAUACGGAGGGUGCGAGCGUUAAUCGGAAUUACUGGGCGUAAAGCGCAUGCAGGUGGUUUGUUAAGUCAGAUGUGAAAGCCCGGGGCUCAACCUCGGAAUUGCAUUUGAAAACUGGCAAACUAGAGUACUGUAGAGGGGGUAGGAAUUUCAGGUGUAGCGGUGAAAUGCGUAGAGAUCUGAAGGAAUACCGGUGGCGAAGGCGGCCCCCUGGACAGAUACUGACACUCAGAUGCGAAAGCGUGGGGAGCAAACAGGAUUAGAUACCCUGGUAG